rnacentral:tRNA from 1 species
GCCCGGGUGGCGAAAUGGUAGACGCAGAGGACUUAAAAUCCUUUGGUAGCAAUACCGUGAGGGUUCGAGUCCCUCCCUGGGCACCA